rnacentral:rRNA from 1 species
AUUGAAAGCUGGGAGCAGGCGUAACAGAUGGAAGUCGAGCGAGCGGCGGACGGGUGAGUAAUGACUGGGAAACGGACUGAUGGAGGGGGUUAACUAAUGGACACGGUAGCUAAUACCGCAGACCAUCAGAUGUGCCCAGAUGGGAGUAGCUAGUAGGUGGGGGAAUGGGACACCAAGGCGAGGAUCCCGAGCUGGGCUGAGAGGAUGACCAGCAACACUGUAAAUGGGACACGGUCCAGACUCCUACGGGAGGAAGAAGUGGGGAAUAUUGCACAAUGGGCGCAAGCCUGAUGCAGCCAUGCAGCGUGUGUGAAGAAGGCCUUCGGAUUGGAAAGCACUUUCAGCGAGGAGGCGUUACUCGCAGAAGAACCACCUGCUAACUCCGUGCCAGCAGCCGCGGUAAUUC